rnacentral:misc_RNA from 1 species
ACAUCUCAACUCUCAUGGGUUGCCAUGAUGAGCUUGGACUUUGGAGGUUUUUGCUGGCUUACGGUCGGCUCCUCUCAAACGGAUCAGCUUGCCAGCGUUUGGUGGCAUCACGGGCGUGAUAACUAUCUGCGCUUGUGGUUAUCCACCAGGUGUAACCUUCAGUGAUGGAGGUUCGCUGGAGCUUCAUAGACGUCCCUCCUCGACGAGGACGGCUUUCUGAAC